rnacentral:rRNA from 1 species
UACGUAGGGCGCAAGCGUUGUCCGGAAUUAUUGGGCGUAAAGAGCUCGUAGGUGGUUUGUUACGUCUGCUGUGAAAACCUAGGGCUUAACCCUGGGCCUGCAGUGGAUACGGGCAGACUAGAGGUAGGUAGGGGAGAAUGGAAUUCCCGGUGUAGCGGUGAAAUGCGCAGAUAUCGGGAGGAACACCGGUGGCGAAGGCGGUUCUCUGGGCCUGUUCUGACGCUGAGGAGCGAAAGCGUGGGGAGCGAACAGG